GAGAGGGUGUGCUUGGGGAGAACGAGGAUGCUCAGGGGGGUGCCCGGGCUCUCGGGGCCGCCUGGUCCUGCCCAGUGCCCCCCCGCUGCCGUGACUGUGUGUAUCCCUAUGGGUCCACGUUCACCCACAGCAUCCCUGGAGAAAAUUCCGCCGUUGUCCCCCACGAAAGGAGGGAAAGGGGGGAAGCCCCACCCGUGUCAGGGAGAAGGACCUGGAGCCUCCCGGCACGCACAGGCAGCGCUGGGCCCCUUGACAGCCUCCCCUGCUCCUGGCUGCUCCAAAGGCUUCGACAGCUCCAAGGAGGAGCAGUCAGAGGGGCAGGACCAAGAGCUGUAACUGGGACACUUGGGCUGCAGCUCCAGGAGAAGCCUGGGGUGAAAAGAACAAACCCUUCCUGUGACACAGGAAAGGCAGGAGCUGACUCAGGCAUCUGGGAAUGGGCAGGACAGAAAUGGGAGUUUGGGCACACAAUGGGCUCAGCUCAGCCUUUGCUUUGUGCUGCUCAGGGCUUCACUCCCACCAUGGCCUGAACUCAGAGGGAAAUUUUCACCACUGAGAGCACAGAGAGAAUUUUGAUCCAUUCAGGGACCUUCUCCCCCAGUUCACUGUGAGGUAAAACAGGCCUUUUCCACCUCAGGUUUAGAUUUCAACAGCACAGAAAACAGCACAGGCUGCAGUUUGGCUCCAGGGCAGAACAGGGUUUGCUCCUCUCUCAGCUUUGCUUGUCCCCACCCCAGGAAUCCCCACAUGCCAACAGGUGCCAGUGUGCUGGAUCUGCUGCCAACCUGCUGCCCUGGCCUGGCUCCACUGGUUUGGGGGGUUUGGGGUUCCUCCCCCAACUGCCAGCCAUGGUGGGAGCUAGGGAAGUUCUGGGUUCACAGAGGGAUCCAGAAGCAGUGUUUUUAGGGGUCUGUCCCACUGGGAUUUUGCACUGGUGCAGCUCAGGUUCAGCCCUGCAGCUCUCGGGAUUGUCUGUGUCUGAUGGAAACCAGCAGGAUUUGCUGCUUCCUGUGAAAACAGCUCAAUUCCUCUGCAAGCCAGUGUUCCCCCAGGCCCAGCUGUCACUAUCUGCCAGGACCUGCCUGUGGGGACACUGUGGGGAGCCCCAGAGCAGAGAAUCCCAGUUUGGGGCACAGGAUAGAGAGGACAUGGUGACCCAGGUCUUGUCCUUUCUGGGACAGUGGGAAAGGGAAUGUUUGGAAGUGGAGGGGGCUUAGUGAUGGACUUCAGAGUCAUCUUCCCCUCCACUUCCCCCACUUUGUUCCAGAAAUAAAUUAAAAGCUCUCCCUCCAGGAAAUUAAAAAUAAUUUAAGAAGGCUGAACACAGGACUUGUUGCACUGGGGUUUUGGAGCUGGGGAUCCUGGGCUUGGAAGGGAGAAUGGUGCUGGGGUGGCCCACUGGAGCUUCUCCAGGAGGCACUGGCAGCAAUUACUCCACCAGAGCCAUUCCCUGGGGCCCGGAUGCCGUGCCCUUCCCUGUCCUGGCUGGGGGAGUGACCUUGCACCAGCACAGACCUGCUGCCAGCACAGGGACGUGCCAGAGAUGGCAGCCUGGCACUGGCCAUGGGGGAAUGAUGCUUCAAUCCCAGGGCCCAGCUCCCCAACCCCUGUGCCCACCCUGCCAGCUGCUUCUCAUCUGCCACACGUCCCGCUGACCUGCAGCGUGCCACUCGACCCAAACUGGUCCCAGGAGGAGCCCUGGCACUUGCCCUGUGCCCACACGACAUCAGCCCUGUGUCACAGCCGUGGCCAGUCCCAGCCCCUCUGCUGGGAAGGAGGCACUGGAGCUCAAAAUGAGCUGGGGAUGCACGGCCUUGCUCCUGCACGUGCUCCUGCACACCCCUGGGGAUGCAGCAGCAGGCGAGUGCUGGUGCUGCUGCUCCUCAGGUUGUGCCUGCAGCCCCCUUGCCCUCGGCACAGAAACACCCUGAGGAUCCCAUCAUAUCCCUGAGAGCGUUUUCCAAAUGCUCCUGGAGCUCAGGCAGCCUUGGGGCUGUGACCAUUCCCUGGGAAGCCUGUUCAGUGCUCCAGCACCUUCUGGGGAUAGAACUUUUUCCUAAUAUCCAGCUUAAACCUCCCAGUGAUGCUUGGAUGGGGUCAUGAUGGCAUCUUCAAGCCUUGAGCACUCCAACACCAGUCCAGGUCACAGCUCACCCAGGCGCCACCAUCCCACUCGUGGGCUCAUCUUGGUAUCCCAGUGCUGAGAUGGGCAGCUUGUCCCGAAAGAGUUAAGGGUGAAACAUUGCAAAUAUGAAAAAAAAAAAUUACAAAAGAAAAAAGUGCACUGAACCACAUGCGACCUAACCUCCCCAGCAGCUCAUCUGAGUUUAAUAAUGGAGGAGGGAAAUCUCCCAAAAAGCUCUCAGAGAAAUUAAAGUAAACAGUGUGCUGACCUCCAGCCCGCACUGCCCCGACGCUGACUCGCUGGCCACGGCGCUCUGCCUUCCCUGGCAUUCCCUGUAAUUGUAAACACAUUCGGGUAAAUAGAGGGGAGGGGAGUGAGGGGGUCCUGGGGAAGCAGCUCUCCCCACAGCCAGCCGAAACUGGGGCUGAGCAUUGGGUCAAAGCCAUGGGUGACGUCUCUGGGCAACGUGGCCAUGGAUGUCCCCAGCUGUGAGGGGCUCCACAAGGACUGAGGGUUGUGAGGAUUGAAGUCCAACGCUGUCAGUGGGAACAGGGGCCACUGGGACCACCACACUGCCCUGUGACUGCAGAGUUGGGGCUGGAAAACCUCGUGUUGGCAGCAGUGGCAGGUCCUGCAGAGGAAGGGAGGAAGACGAGGAGGAGGAUGCUAUUAACAGGUUUGUCCUCUUGGCCUCACAAAAUUUAAAACCAGCACUCUUAUUUUCAUAGAUCCUGGUCAUUUUUUUAGGCUGAGGCAAAGAAAAGCAACCCCAGGCUGUACAAGUGCUGGCGUUCCUCUCCGAAGAGGGGCCGGAAAUGCCACUGGUCUGGAGGGAGAAAGCAUCACUGCCAGCCCAGCCCCAUCCCUGGCCUGGCUCCAUCCUCAUCCUCAUCCCCAGCCCAGCCCUGUGCUGCUUUACACACAGAAUCUCAUGGGCCACAUUUCCUACAGGAUAUUCUGGAGAAAACACCACUUGCAGGCUGGGGAAAGGGCAGAGAGGGGGCUGGAUCCAGGUGACCCAUUCCCUUGUCCACGGCCCCAGCCCCUGCCCAGUCCUGCUGCCUGAUGUCUACCUGUAACUCCAAUUCCUUUUCAAUCAGAAUCAAAAGCAGUGACAAAUGCGCUGUAUUUGGUGGAAAAUGCCGGGGAUCUGCAGCCGGAUUGGAUUUCAGAGGAGCUGAGAAUCCCACGGAGGAGGAGGAGGAGGAGGAGGUGUGACCCUCGCACCAGUGAUGGACACGCAGCUCUGUCACCCAGCGGGGGAACAGACCCCCUCGCCACAACACUCAUUCUGAGGAGGAACUUUCCUCAUUCUUUACUCUCCUUAAACCCCCCAAAAGUGGAUUUCUCUCGGCCGGGGGAGCGGGGCUGGAUCCCGCUGACGUUUCCUCAGCGGUUCAUCCGCUGCUGAGCCGCAAAAAGGGAAUAUCGCUGCCGACUCCACCCCUUCCAUCAGAGCGGGACCCAAAAAUCACCAUUUCCUCUUGGCCUGUGAAUCGCUAAUAAACUCCAGACAGAAAGGUC